rnacentral:rRNA from 1 species
AUGGCGGCGUCGGCCCUGGCGGCGUCGGCGGCGGCGAGCCAGUCCAUGAAGAACCGCGAGAUCCUCGACGCCGUGGGCACCACCGCGGCGGCGCUCUCGCUCGCCGGCUCCUCCUUCAUCGUGCUCUGCUACCUCCUCUUCCGCGAGCUCCGCAAGUUCUCGUUCAAGCUCGUCUACUUCCUCGCCGUCGCGGAUAUGCUUUGCAGCUUAUUCACUAUAAUGGGGGGGCCAGCAAAUGCAUUCUAUUGCUUUGCGCAUGACUACAGUGCACAUUUCUUCUGUGUGGCUUCUUUUUUAUGGACAACCACUAUAGCAUUCACUCUUCAUCGCACAGUUGUCAAGCACAAAACCGAUGUUGAGGAGUUUGGAUUCAUUUUCCACUUGUAUGUAUGGGGAACUUCACUAGUUACAACUGUAUUACGUUCAAUAGGAAGUGAUUAUGGAAGGCCAGGGACCUGGUGUUGGAUCCAGCAGGGAAGCACGGGAAAGAUUUUACACUUGAUUACCUUUUACCUUCCACUUUGGGGUGCCAUUCUCUACAAUGGGUUUACGUACUAUCAAGUAAACCGCAUGUUGAACAAUGCGACACGGAUGGCUGUUGGCAUGAGUGAUCGAUCAAGUCAAUCUGACGUGAGGGCAGACAAGAAGGCAUUUAACCGGUGGGGUUAUUACCCUCUGAUUUUAAUUGGUUCAUGGGCUUUCGCAACAAUCAAUCGCCUGUAUGACUUUGCUAAUCCUGGUCACAAGAUAUUUUGGCUAUCCAUCCUUGAUAUUGGGUUUGCUGGACUUAUGGGCCUUUUUAAUUCGAUUGCUUAUGGUCUCAACUCUUCAGUGCGCAGAGCAAUUGCAGAAAGAAUUGACAUGUAUCUACCCGAGAGAAUCAAAAGGAGCCUCCCUACUUUGUCAAGAUUGAGAAGUCAGCAAGAAAAUGAGCUGACCUCUCUUAUUGUUGAGAGUAAUAACAGUAUAACAGAAACAACAAUGCGAGUAACACCUAGGAGUUCUCUAGCUGGCUGA